AUAUUCUACACAGCACUAGGAUGUCAUUGUUUAAAUGUUCCUGGUCUUCUUCUUCUUUUUUUUAUAGGACUAUAGGAGAAAUAAUGGCUGUCAGCCUGGCGCAAAGUGGACCGGCUCCAAAUUUUUUAGCGGUUUGGUGCUACAAGUUUCUGUGCAGUGGAUCUUUGAAAUUUGAAGACCUGGACAAAACUGCUCUGGGAGAUGACCAACAUAUUGAGCUUAUUUCCAAGCAGGCUGAUGCAGACUUUGUCAUGUCAGUUUGCCGGGCAGAGUUCAGCGAGGAGGGGUCAAAUAAGGAACACCUGGAGGUGACCUUAAUGAACCACCUGCAAGAUUUACUUCAGGAACUGGAGCAAAGUCAUUAUUCUUUUUUAACCUGUAUUUUGUAGGGGGAAAUUAACCCUAUUGUGUUCAGUUCAUUAAUUGGUCAACUAAGACAAUGAAUUGUGUUAAUUAAUUAUCAGAGGUGGUAAAAAACACAGUCUUGUUUGAAUCCCAUGGGUCAUAGGGUUGCAUGAGGUCAGGGAUCUCCCGUGUUUGUCACAAAUAUUAAGAAACACAAAAAUAACACACAAUUAUUGACAGGAUAUUCAUAACAAGGUAAAUAAGGCAUUAAAUAAGUAUAAUGAAGAAGUAUGUGGAUAAUAGGAACAAGGAUUCACCUCAGAAUAGCAAUAAGGUUUACUAAGUGUGUGUUUGUGUAGUGUGUGUGUGGUGUGUAGAGUGUGUGUGUGGUGUGUAGAGUGUGUGUGUAGUGUGUGUGGUGUGUAGUGUGUGUGUAUUUAGGCUCAGUUGUGUUUAAAUGCCCAGUGUAAUUAAGGACUGCAAGUCUGCUGAGGCCUGUAACGAUUAUUACGAUACUGAUUUAUCGUACGAUUUAGAGAUAAAACAACAUCAUUUCUGCUCAUCUCGAUUCUGACCGUUCGCUGUUUUCCUAAAAAAAAAAACAUAAACUCAAUUUUAUCCAAAUCACAUUUAAUUUCCAGUGUAAACAUCAACUUUUUACAAAAUAAAAUAUCCGCCA
rnacentral:lncRNA from 1 species